GAAAUACUCUGUGGUUCAGGAGGAGGGGAAUUUCCUGCCGGCUCUUGCAUUCCUCAAAGACCCCAAGGCAUCUCCCCAAGAUGACCACAGUUGUCCCUGAAGAAGCAGUCACAGCAAGCUCACUUCACAGGAACCAAGCUGUGGGCUGAUCCUACAGACUUGAAAAGACAACUCAAAAAGAUUGUCUGUGGGGUCAGAAACAGCUCUGGAGGGGUCUGCAGAAAUUACUUUCCCAAGUCUUUGGGCUGGAAGGAACGAACAGUGCCUGACCAAGGACUUUGAGCAGGAGAGAGAUGGGAGCAGAGAGGAGCCAAGGUCUACUAUUUUCACUUCUGUCAAUUAGAUCAAAGCCCUGCCCAGAAGCUUUGAGCGCCGCUGUCAAGUCCCAUUCCUCCCCUAAACCAUCCAGGUUCCAUCUGCCUUGAAGCCAAAGGAUCUUCUUAGAUUCCUCAAGAAAAAUUCAGGCCCCGAGUUUCUCCACCAGCACUCUCCUCUCCCCGAAGGAGUGGGUGGGCUGCAUUUCUCUUCAUAUUCUAUUCCAUUCCAGACCGUCUUGGACUACCAGCCUGUCCGCCACCCCUCGGGGCCCUCCCUCCUACUCUGCCCUUGCCCGCUGAGGUCCCAAGCUGAGGAGAUGAGCCGAGCAGUAAAAAGAGAGGAGGUUUGGAAAAGCAAUGUCCUCUCAGUCUUUAAUAGGUGGCCCCCCUGGGAACCUGCUGGAAGUGGAAGUUAAUAAGCUGAAGGUGGUCACAACCAAUCUCUGCCACACUCGCACCCUACCCCACCCCAAAUCAUUCCUUUUAAUUAAUAGUGGAAGACCUUUUUAAAAAUGUAACAUGAAUUGGCUAUUUCUUGAGGCAAACAAAAGGUGGCUCUGAAGCGAUAUAUUUGUACUCGUAUAAAUUCAUUAAAAU
rnacentral:lncRNA from 1 species